rnacentral:rRNA from 1 species
UACGGGGGGGGCAAGCGUUGUUCGGAAUUACUGGGCGUAAAGGGCUCGUAGGCGGCCAACUAAGUCGAACGUGAAAUCCCCGGGCUCAACCCGGGAACUGCGUCCGAUACUGGAAGGCUUGAAUCCGGGAGAGGGAUGCGGAAUUCCAGGUGUAGCGGUGAAAUGCGUAGAUAUCUGGAGGAACACCGGUGGCGAAGGCGGCAUCCUGGACCGGCAUUGACGCUGAGGCGCGAAAGCCAGGGGAGCAAGCGGG